GGUGGGUUGGCUCAGUGGUUAGAGCGUAGGUCUCGCACUCAAAAGGUAGCGGGAUCGAAUCCCGCUAGAGGCUG
rnacentral:tRNA from 1 species